rnacentral:rRNA from 1 species
GAUGAACGCUAGCUACAGGCUUAACACAUGCAAGUCGAGGGGCAGCACAAGGCAGCAAUGCUGAGGUGGCGACCGGCGCACGGGUGCGUAACGCGUAUCCAACCUUCCCGUUACUCUUGGAUAGCCUUCCGAAAGGGAGAUUAAUACAAGAUGGUGUUGAAAUUCCGCAUGUCAUUUCAACUAAAGAUUUAUCGGUAACGGAUGGGGAUGCGUGACAUUAGAUAGAUGGCGGGGUAACGGCCCACCAUGUCCACGAUGUCUAGGGGUUCUGAGAGGAAGGUCCCCCCACACUGGAACUGAGACACGGCCCAGACUCCUACGGGAGGCAGCAGUGGGGAAUAUUGCACAAUGGAGGAAACUCUGAUGCAGCGAUGCCGCGUGAGGGAAGAAGGUUUUCGGAUUGUAAAACCUCUGUCUUCAGGGACGAUAAUGACGGUACCUGAGGAGGAAGCUCCGGCUAACUACGUG